UGCUUGUGUAUGGGUGCGCGUUUGAAUGGGUGCGUCGUGUGUAGAACUAGAUGCUGCAGUUUGCAGCUGGUUUGAUUCAUGUCGUGGGUCACUUACCAAUGUAUGUAGGCCUAAUUGGCUAUGACCUUUGAAAUAGUUGAAAGUAAAUCCCAGUAGUAUCUAGUGAAACACACAUGCAAACGCCCUUCUGUCCCUCAUUCCCUCAAACUCGAUCUUCUACAUUUGUUGUGUAAAAAGGACAUAGCAAGUUUUUUGUAUCAAUGAUCACUUUAGGAUAUUCCAGUGCAUUUACAUUCAAUAUAUACUGUACCUUGAGUGAGGUAGAAAUGCAUAUUGUUGCAAAUAUAAAUACUGUUAAUUUGUUAUUUUUUGUAAUUAAUAAUUUACUGAAUUUCUUUGUAGAAUAUGUUACUAUUAUUUGGGUUUUUGUUCUCUGCAUAACUGUCUCUUUCACCUAUAUUAAUUCCUCAGCAUUCAAGAUGUUUGUAGGGUCCUCACCUCAGCUACCUCUCACAAGGUGCCCCUGAAAAAGAAAUUCAAGACGUUUGGGUCCUCAGCUCAACUGACCAAGACCUUUGCUCAUUGAAGGCAUGAAGUAAUUUGUGAUGCCCCCACGAUUGCAGUUUUUAAAUCCAGAUGGCUUGCUCUUUUUAACAUGUGCGAGAGCUGGAUGGUCUUUCAACAACACUGCUCCGGGUCUUCAGCAAGAAAGGAG